rnacentral:rRNA from 1 species
GCUUAGCCCUAAACCCAGGCAGUCUCACAACCCACUGCUCGCCAGAGAAUUACAAGCGAAAAGCUUAAAACUCAAAGGACUUGACGGUGCCCCAUAUCGGCCUAGAGGAGCCUGUCCUAUAAUCGAUAACCCACGUUACACCCGACCUGCCCUUGCCACUCCCGCCUAUAUACCGCCGCCCUAAUCUGUUUACCUCGCAACAGCCCCCACAGUAGACCCGACAGGCAACCCCUAAAACGGCAGGUCAAGGUGUAGCCAAUGAGCAGGCAGCGAUGGGCUACAUUUCCUGAUACAGCACACACCCCCAACACCAUGAAAAUAGGUUUACAAGUCGGAUUUAGCAGUAAGCCGAGCAACGAGUGCUCAGCUGAAACCAGCCCUGGGGCGCGU